rnacentral:rRNA from 1 species
GGUCAAGCGAAUAAGCGCACACGGUGGAUGCCUUGGCGGUCAGAGGCGAUGAAGGACGUGGCAGCCUGCGAAAAGUAUCGGGGAGCUGGCAACAAGCUUUGAUCCGGUAAUGUCCGAAUGGGGAAACCCACCCGCUUGCGGGUAUCCUGCAGUGAAUACAUAGCUGCUGGAAGCGAACCUGGUGAACUGAAAUAUCUAAGUAACCAGAGGAAAAGAAAUCAACCGAGAUUCCGUAAGUAGCGACGAGCGAACGCGGACUAGCCCUUAA